rnacentral:lncRNA from 1 species
CUGAGAUUACAGGCGUGAGCCUGGCCUUAUUUUUUAGAGACAGACUUGCUCUGUUGCCCAGGCUGGAUGAGGUGAUGAGAUCAUAGCUCACUGCAGCCUUGGGCUCAAGUGGUCCUCCUGCCCCUGCCUCUUGAAUAGCUGGGACUGCAGUUCUGCACCACCACAUCCAGCUACGCGCAUGCUUUCUGAUGCCUGGUUCAGCAGACAUGGAGGCUAUGGGGGCUGUCUUGGGGUGAUCAUCGUGAGGAUGGCCUGGAAUAUUUAUGUGCAUGUGUGUAAGCAUGUGUCUCAAGGAGGCUCCAGGCUGCUGACCCCAGAGCCAGCUCUCUCCUUAUGAAAUAACACCUCUUAGAUCCAUAAGACUUUACAAAAAUUUUUAUUCUGUUUACACAGGACCUUGUCUCAUUCAAUCCUUCCAAUUACCAAAAGAAGCAGGCAAGACAAACUGUUACACCCAUUUUAUGGGUUAGAAUGAUUUACUCCAAGAGAGAUGCACUUGCCUAAGACCAUCAGCUGUAGAGCUGGGCUAAUCCCAGUGCAUGACUCUUCCAUGAAUUGUGUGUUAAUUAUUUAUUUAUUGAGAGAGGGUCUUGCUCUGUCCCCCAGGCUGUAGUACAGUGGCAUGAUCACAGCUCACUGCAGCCUCAACCACCUGGGCUGAAGUGAUCCUCCCACCUCAGCCCCACAAGUAACUGGGACUACAUGCACACACCACCACAUCUGGCUAAUUUUUGUAUUUUUUUUAGAGACGAGGUUUUGCCAUGUUGCCCAGGCUGGUUUUGAACUCCUGGGCUCAAGUGAUCUGCUCAUCUUGGCCUUCCAAAGUGCUGGGAUUACAGGUGUGAGCCACCGUGCCCAGCCCCAUUUAUUUCACGAACAACUAACUACUCACUGACCACCUAGCAUGUGGCAGCACAGUGUGGCAGUUAAGAGCUGUGCUCCUCGGCCGGCCGCAGUGGCUCAUGCCUGUAAUCCCAGCACUCUGGGAAGCCAAGGCAAGCGGAUCACCUGAGGUCAGGAGUUCGAGAUCAGCCUAGCCAAUAUGGUGAAUCCCUGUCUCUACUAAAAAUACAAAAAUUAGCUGGGUGUGGUGGCACACGCCUGUAGUCCCAGCUACUCGGGGGGCUAAGGAAGGAGAAUCGCUUGAACCCAGGAGGUGGAGGUUGCAGUGAGCCGAGAUCUCACCAUUGCACUCCAGCCUGGGCAACACAGUGAGACUCUGUCUUGAGAAAAAAAAAAAAAAAAAAAAAGUCGGCCGGGCGCAGUGGUUCACGCCUGUAAUCCCAGCACUUUGGGAGGCCGAGGUGGGUGGAUCACGAGGUCAGGAGAUCGAGACAAUCCUGGCUAACACGAUGAAACCUCAUCUCUACUAAAAAUACAAAAAAUUAGCCAGGCGUGGUGGUGGGCGCCUGUAGUCCCAGCUACUUGGGAGGCUGAGGCAGGAGAAUGGCAUGAACCCGUGAGGCAGAGCUUGCAGUGAGCAGAGAUCGCGCCACUGCACUCCAGCCUGGGCAACAAAGCGAGACUCCGUCUCAAAAAAAAAAAAAAAAACAUACACAUACACACACAAAAAGUCAGCUGGGGGUGGUGGCACACGCCUGUAAUCCCAACUACUGGGGAGGGUGAGGCAGGAGAAUCCCUUGAACCUGGGAGGUGGAGGUUGCAGUGAGCCAAGAUUGAGCUACUGCACCUCCAGCCUAGGCAACAGCGAGACUCUGUCUCUCUCUCCUACACACACACACACACACACACACACACACACACACACACACAAACACAAAGAAAAAAGAAAAAAAGAAAAACAAAAGAGCUGUGCUCCAGAGUCAGACUGUCCUUGAGUCCCAGCCCUGCCAUCCAGUAUGUCAAUUCCCUGUAUUUCCUCAUGCACAAAACAAGGGUAUAAUUAUCCCAGCAAAUAUGAACUGCUACAAUUUUAAAGUUCCUUAGCAUUGUCUUGAAACAAGGGGAAGUUAAAACAAAACAAAAAAAAAGUCCCUGGCCGAGCAUGGUGGCUCACACUGGUAUUUCCAGCACCAUGGGAGGACAAGGCAAGCGGAUCACUCGAGGCUAGGAUUUCAAGACCAGCCUAGGCAACAUAGCGAGAACCUGUCUCUACAAAAAAAUUUAAAAAUUAGCAGGGCGUGAUGGUGCGUGCCUGUGGUCCCAGCUACUGGAGAGUCUGAGGCUGCAGUGAGCUAGAAUUUUGCCACCACACUCCAGCCAGAGCCACAGAGUCAGAUCCUGUCUCAAAAGAAAAAGGCUCUUUUAAGGUUGGGCGCGGUGGCUGACACCUGUAAUCCCAGCACUUUGGGAGGCCAAGGCGGGCAGAUCACCUGAGGUCAGGAGUUUGAGACCAGCCUGGCCAACAUGGUGAAACUCUGUCUCUACUAAAAAUACAAAAAUUAGCCAGGCGUGGUGGCAGGUGCCUGUAAUCCCAGCUACUCAGGAGGUUGAGGUGGGAGAAUCUCUUGAACCUGGGAGACAGAGGUUGCAGUGAACUGAGAUCGCGCCACUGCACUCCACUCUGGGUGACAGAGUGAGACUCCGUCUCAAAAAACAAACAAAAAAAGUCCUCUCCCAAGGCCAUGCUCCUGGUGGCAGCUGGCACCCAAAGGCUGAGCACUUGAGCAGAAUGGAAGCCUGACCACCUGCCCUGACUUAGAACAACUCUGCCGGGCUAAGCUGGCGGAGGCGCACACUGGGCUUGCAUUGCUGCUCAACCUCUCCCUCUGCUCCAGUCUGUCACCUGGGCCUGCUUUCCUGGGUGUUGAUCCCAGGAGCAACCACAAUAAAUGCCCUGCAUGUUGGCCUCUCCAAGCCGCUUCCCAAGGAACCCAACCUGUGACAGGCACAGCAGAUGCAGAGAUGACUAAGCCACAGUCUGGCCUUCAAGAAUGUCAAGGCCAAGUGGGAACUGCGAUCUCAUGCAGCUCGCUGGGGUUAGCACAAAGUGCAAUGAAGCCUGGUUGGAGGGGCUGGAAUUGAGGGAGUCCAGGCCCUACUGGGGACCAGCCAGGUUGCCCACGAAGGUGUUGGUGAGUGUGCCUGUCAGGGCCGAACAGUCCCACUGACUGGGAACUCUCAGAAGACAGCCUGAGCUAGUCACUUUCCUUCCUUUGAGCCCAAACUGAUCUAUCUCUGGAGUCACUGAUUGAAAUAUCACUUCUUUUCCCAUAUGAUAGUCCUUCAAAUCAGAUGGUCACACAAGAGUCACUUUUUUGAGUGCUGAUACAUUGUUCUUGUCAGCAAAUCCUCAUAACAAUCCUAUAAAGAAACCAAGAAGGUGCUCAGAAAGGUUGAGGAAUUUGCUGUGGCUACCUUCUGCUACCAGCUGUGGUUAUUUCUGCUACCAGCAACAGAGCUGAGAUCUGAUAUUCGACUCCAACUCCAGUGCUCUUGAAGCACAAAAGCAGAUUUGGCAUCACAGAACCCUCCAGAUGCAUUCCCAAGGACUCUAAGGAGUUGAGAGAACUCCUCUAGGGUUCACUAUUGGUGAGGGGCUCAGAGGCUGGAAGCCUGGCAAGUAGGCAGGCAUGAUCCUAUAACGGAUGGCUCCCUGAUACACCCACCUGCAGGUCUGAAGUUGGAAGAGAAUUAUGAGGGCUGUGAGCAAGCUCUCUGGAGUGCUGAGCUAAGGGUGCCCAUGGCCACAGACAUGGGAGGAAGGAUGCCAAGGAGGCAGGCACAUUAGUCGUCCUUCUGCCAGCUUCACCAGUCCACAGAGCCUUGCUGUCUUUAUCUUCUUUAACCCCCGAAACAGGGCUCUCUCCCCGGCGACCCAUACCAUGCUACCCUCAGCAGCUCAGAGUUAAGAUUCUUUGGUCAAGCUUUUUUUUUUUUUUUCUUGAGAAGAAGUCUCGCUCUGUCGCCCAGGCUGAGUGCAAUGGCACGAUCUCAGCUUACUGCAACUUCCGCCUCCCAGGUUCAAGCUAUUCUCCUGCCUCAGCCUCUUGAGUAGCUGGGACUACAGGCAUGUGCCACCACACCUGGCUAAUUUUUGUAUUUUUAGUAGAGACGGGGCCUCCCUAUGUUGGCCUGGCUGGUCUUGAACUCCUGACCUCAGGUGACCUGCCCACCUUGGCCUCCUAAAGUGCUGGGAUUACAGGCGUGAGCCACUGCUCCUGGCCUGGUCGAGCUUUUUGACUACAAUCUGCAUGAAGGCGGCAAGUUCUUUCUGCUGACUUUGUUGUCACUGAGAGCAACGCAAUAUGUCUGUUUUAUUUUUUUCUUUUGAGAGAAGUGGUCUUGCUAAGUUUCCCAGGCUGGCCGCAAACCCCUGGGCUCAAGCAAUCCUCCCACCUUGGCCUCCCCAACAGCUGGGACUACAGGUGCGUACCACUGUGCUCAGCUCAAAUGUCUCUAUUUUAACGUCCUCUGCAUAACAAUGACAUAUAACAGCUAACUCCUCAAGAAAUAAUAUUUAUAAAUGAUACUACCUGUGUUCAACAUCUCUCCCCUCUUAAAGAUUGCUUCAUUUGAAAAGAAAGUGUUCUAUGCCUUCCUGUUAGACCCUGUCCUAAAUUCCCUAUUUCCCAGGCCCCUCCUAUAUGGUUAGAGGAAAUAUAAAGAACAUGCAAUCACCCAAGCAAAGUGAGGACAAAGAUGGUUUCUCUUCAGUGCUGAGUCUAGAGAGCAGAGAAGCAGGGCAAGCCGGAGCCAGAUAUGACUGGAGAAAGCAGCUGGCCACGUGUGAGGCCAGGUUACACAAUCAGUUCAACUGCCCAUCAGUGGGGGCUGUGACGACAGAACCCAAGACCCCUUCAGCUGAGGCUGAGCCCAGGCUAGGGCUAACAGCACCGCAAUGAUGCCAAUACACUGCCCUUCAUUCCACUGGCUCAGCCCACCCCAAGGUCAGGCAGGCAGAUGACCUCCAUGCCCCAGUAGCUUGACAAUGUCUCUUCUAGAGGCAAGGCUGGUGCUGCUAUUGCUUCCUACACGUGAGGGAUACAAGUGCCAUAGGAAAACGCCAAUCCGAGAGUCCACAGCCCUCAGUAGGAGGCAACCACUGCCCAGGGAGCAGCAGACAUGAGGCAAAGGAGACGCGGGGAGAGAUUUAAUUUACAUAGCAGCCACUUGGGGUCCAGUCAGAGCUGGGGCAGUGGGGGAAUCUAUAACCC